rnacentral:lncRNA from 1 species
CAUGAUGCUGUCAAUACAAUACUCUAUCAAUAGCUACUCCAUCGUCGCCUUUUUAUAACAAAACGAAUUUUCGCCACGGUCAAGACAAAAAAUUAAAUUCAAUACUUACCAACUGCAAAAGGUUUUGUAAGUAGAACUUUGGGAUUUUUUAGUCCAAGCCCAUUCCAUCUCAAGCUGCAGAGUCAUUUCAUGCUACUUACAUUAAAGGUAAUUUUACUACAAAAGUUUGUGGAGAAUAUAAUAAUUUUAUCUCUACCUAUCUAAUUCAUAUCAUUUUGGUUCACCUUUGAAGUUACCGGAAGAGGAAGGUACGAGCAAUGUAUUGCGCUUCUUCCGUGCAGUAGAGAGAGAAAGUGUGAUGAUCUUCCGUGCAGUAGAGAGAGAGAGUGUGGUGAGGGAACUGCUACACAUGCAUCUGAAAAUUUUGACUAAACGUUUCUUGAUUUCGACCUAAU